ensembl:lincRNA Gm26708 predicted gene, 26708
CCUGGAUUGAAAAGUUUAGCCUACACUGGUUUAGAACUCACAUGCUUCUAGCCUCUACCACCACUUGCUGAGAUUCAAGACUUCUUGAACAGCCACUACCAUAAAUGCUCUGGUCCAUCUCGUACGUGUUCCCGUGUUGCAGGCGGCUGUUGGGGAAGAUGACCAGGACUGAAAACAGAGCAUGCUUUGUAUCAGAGCUUCUCAGACUAUAGACUACCCUAGAAACAUCUGGGAGCCCUGUUUCAAGACAAAGCUUCAUUCCAUAGAUCUACAAUGACCUGACAUGGCUUCUGACAGAACAAGCUCCUGGCAAUACCAGUGCCUGACUAAGUUAUAGAAUAUAAUUCCUCAAUUACUUGAAAAUUCUUCAAUCAUAUCGUGCAUAAAUAUGACAAAAAGAAGGUGAGGAUCAGGCCCAGGGCAUAUUCAGAACUGAAUACUUCUUAGUCCUUGGAAUGCCCCAUCCAGAGAGAGCAGAGACAACUCAGCAGCUGAAGAGAAGAGCAGUAUUCUGCUCCUAGGCUUGUUCAUGAAGCCUAUCAUCCAUCCUGCUCCCUGCAUAUCAGGCUCAACCACCAAACCAUGCUGUUUUAGAAUCUGGACAGAUGCCACAAUGUGUGUACUCAAGAGGAACACAAGUGAGAUACUGUCCAUGGUGAUUGACUUGUCUUGAUGAACUGUUCUGUGUAGGCUUUUGUUUCUCCAUCUAUAAGAUAGAUGGUUUUAAAGGACUGGUUCUUCUAGCUCUCACCUUACAGAAAAACUAUUAAAGGAAAUCAAGAAUGCAGGCAUGGGCAAUGUUCGGUAUUCUUAGCCACUGAGAUUACAUUUUAAUCUAGUAAGCAUGGUUAUCACCAAGAAAAAAAACCUACAGUCAAUGCUGACAAGGAGUUGAGGAAAGAGGAACCCUUGUUCACUGUUGGUGGCAAUGUGGUCUGGUGAAGUUUUUAUGGAAAUCAAUGUAUAGGGUCCUCAAAAACUCAAACGAGUAUUACCAUAUGGCUAGGUGAUAGCAUUCCUGUGCAAAUAUCCAAAGGCAUCUGAGUUAAUAUACCACAGAGCCAUUUGUGUACCUAUUUAUUGCUGUUCUCUUUACAAAAGCCAAAAUAUUGAAGGAAUCACCCUUGAUGUCUAUUAGCAGAUGACUUGCUAGUAAAAAUAUGGUAAUAUGGUGCAUAUAUACAAUGGAAUGCAAUUUAUCCAUAAAGAAAAGUGGAAUUAUGUCACUUGUAAGAAAUGAAUAUAAUUUAGGACCAUCAAAAGAAAAUAAAGCUGAAUCAGAAC